AUUUCGGACUCGAUCUCCUCCAGGCAAUUUCGGACUCGAUCCAAGCUCAUCCAUCAACAGUUUCUCCAAAUCUGAAAAUCGUUAAUUGGAAGGCUUAAUUUCGGACUCCAGGCUCAACAACAGAGGCGGCGUGCUAAUUAAUCCUUUAGAGUUUCUUCAAAUCUGAAAAUCGGCAGCUGUGACUUCAGCUGAGCUUUACUAUUGGAGUGCUAAAUUAUCUGGAAAUUACUUCGGCCCAUUUGCUUCUUGGAUUACUGGGACUAGGGGUGGAGUAGAUGAAGAAAUGGAAGACGGAGGCAGUGAUGAAGAUACUUAAGAGAAUUUUGAAUUGUUGAUUGUUGUAGAUGCAUGUGGCGGUUUCUAGGAAUGUUUGUUAUCAAAACAUUUUAAAACUUUUAACUCUUGAAAUAUCAAAUGUAUGUACUUGGUAACAUUUUAUCUAUGGAUUUAUUAUUAGCUUGUUGGA